CCGCGCUAGGCGGGGAGUUAGCGGUGCCCUGUACCUGCAAUCCGCUACAGCAGGGCGGAAUUCCCUUUCCAAGGCAUGUGCCCGUGGGGCUGGCCCCCGCAAGGGGCGUUGAGGCCCGAGUCCCGUGCAAUCCAACUCUGUGAACCAUGUCAGGGCCGGAAGGCAGCAGCAUUAAGCAGCCGUAUGGGUGUGCCGCGGGGUUGCCCGGGCGGAGUUACCUGCGAGAGUACCGCCUGUGGGAACAUUGUCGAAGAACGGGUGCGCGG
rnacentral:SRP_RNA from 1 species